UACGUAGGGGGCAAGCGUUGUCCGGAAUCAUUGGGCGUAAAGCGCGUGUAGGCGGCUCGGUAAGUCUGCUGUGAAAGUCCAGGGCUCAACCCUGGGAUGCCGGUGGAUACUGUCGAGCUCGAGUCCGGAAGAGGAGAGUGGAAUUCCUGGUGUAGCGGUGAAAUGCGCAGAUAUCAGGAAGAACACCCGUGGCGAAGGCGGCUCUCUGGGACGGUACUGACGCUGAGACGCGAAAAGCGUGGGGAGCGAACAG
rnacentral:rRNA from 1 species